rnacentral:rRNA from 1 species
CCUUCGGUGUCCGAGUUGUAAUUUGAAGAAGGUAACUUUGGAGUUGGCUCUUGUCUAUGUUCCUUGGAACAGGACGUCACAGAGGGUGAGAAUCCCGUGCGAUGAGAUGUCCAACUCUAUGUAAAGUGCUUUCGAAGAGUCGAGUUGUUUGGGAAUGCAGCUCUAAGUGGGUGGUAAAUUCCAUCUAAAGCUAAAUAUUGGCGAGAGACCGAUAGCGAACAAGUACAGUGAUGGAAAGAUGAAAAGAACUUUGAAAAGAGAGUGAAAAAGUACGUGAAAUUGUUGAAAGGGAAGGGUUUGAGAUCAGACUUGGUAUUUUGUAUGUCUUGCUUUCGGGUGGGGCCUCUGCAGUUUACUGGGCCAGCAUCGGUUUGGACGGUAGGAUAAUGACAUUGGAAUGUGGCACUACUUCGACUGGUGUGUUAUAGACUUUGUUGAUACUGCCUGUCUAGACCGAGGACUGCGUCUUUGACUAGGAUGCUGGCAUAAUGAUCCUAAACCGCC